GUGGGGAAUUUUGGACAAUGGGCGCAAGCCUGAUCCAGCAAUGCCGCGUGCGGGAAGAAGGCCUUCGGGUUGUAAACCGCUUUUGUACGGAACGAAAAGGCUCUGGCUAAUACCUGGGGCUGAUGACGGUACCGUAAGAAUAAGCACCGGCUAACUACGUGCCAGCAGCCGCGGUAAUACGUAGGGUGCGAGCGUUAAUCGGAAUUACUGGGCGUAAAGCGUGCGCAGGCGGUCUUGUAAGACAGAGGUGAAAUCCCUGGGCUCAACCUAGGAAUGGCCUUUGUGACUGCAAGGCUGGAGUGCGGCAGAGGGGGAUGGAAUUCCGCGUGUAGCAGUGAAAUGCGUAGAUAUGCGGAGGAACACCGAUGGCGAAGGCAGUCCCCUGGGCCUGCACUGACGCUCAUGCACGAAAGCGUGGGGAGCAAACAGGAUUAGAUACCCGGGUAGUCC
rnacentral:rRNA from 1 species